AUGCCGGCCAGCCUACACAAAGGACUUAACUCCCUAAUCAUCCUCACAUCCUGGGCCAUCUAGAAGCACCGCAACGCAGUCCUCUUCGACAACAUAACACCCUCCCACGACAAACUUCUCAACGACAUCAAACUGGAGGCAAAACUAUGGGCAAGAGCUGACGCCAAAGGGCUCGGUCGGACCAUUCCUGUAACAUAA
rnacentral:rRNA from 1 species